rnacentral:rRNA from 1 species
AGCAGCCGCGGUAAUUCCAGCUCCAAUAGCGUAUAUUAAAGUUGUUGCAGUUAAAAAGCUCGUAGUUGAACUUCGGGGUUUACCCAUUGGUCAGGCUUAAUUGUCUGCACUGGUGAGAUGAAUCUCUACCUUCUGAGGAACUUUCAUGCCAUUUAUUUGGUGUGAUUGGAAAUCAGGACUGUUACUUUGAAAAAAUUAGAGUGUUUAAAGCAGGCUAACGUCUGAAUACAUUAGCAUGGAAUAAUGAAAUAGGACGGAUUGAUUCUAUUUCGUUGGUUUCUAGGAUCACCGUAAUGAUUAAUAGGGAUAGUUGGGGGCAUUAGUAUUCAAUUGUCAGAGGUGAAAUUCUUGGAUUUAUUGAAGACUAACUACUGCGAAAGCAUUUGCCAAGGAUGUUUUCAUUAAUCAAGAACGAAAGUUAGGGGAUCGAAGACGAUCAGAUACCGUCGUAGUCUUAACCAUAAACUAUGCCGGCUAGGGAUCGGACGAAGUUAAUUUUAUAAUGAC